rnacentral:rRNA from 1 species
UUUAAGCAUAUUAAUAAGCGGAGGAAAAGAAACUAACAAGGAUUCCCCUAGUAGCGGCGAGCGAACAGGGAAAAGCCCAGCACUGAAUCCCAUCGGGUCCAGCACUCGAUCGGGAAAUGUAGUGUUAGGGAGGAUCCAACUAUCCCGGAUUGUCGAGGCGAGUCCAAGUCCAUCUUGAAUGGGGCCACUGCCCGUAGAGGGUGCCAGGCCCGUAGUGACCGCUUAUGCUUUCCGGGAGGAUCUCUCCUUAGAGUCGGGUUGCUUGAGAGUGCAGCUCUAAGUGGGUGGUAAACUCCAUCUAAGGCUAAAUAUGACCACGAGACCGAUAGCGAACAAGUAC